UGCAAGUCGAGCGCGCCCUUCGGGGUGAGCGGCGGACGGGUGAGUAACGCGUGGGAAUAUGCCCUUCUCUAAGGAAUAGCCUCUGGAAACGGAGAGUAAUACCUUAUACGCCCUUUGGGGGAAAGAUUUAUCGGAGAAGGAUUAGCCCGCGUUAGAUUAGGUAGUUGGUGGGGUAAUGGCCUACCAAGCCUACGAUCUAUAGCUGGUUUGAGAGGAUGAUCAGCCACACUGGGACUGAGACACGGCCCAGACUCCUACGGGAGGCAGCAGUAGGGAAUCUUAGACAAUGGGGGCAACCCUGAUCUAGCCAUGCCGCGUGUGUGAUGAAGGCCCUAGGGUCGUAAAGCACUUUCGCCAGAGAUGAUAAUGACAGUAUCUGGUAAAGAAACCCCGGCUAACUCCGUGCCAGCAGCCGCGGUAAUACGGAGGGGGUUAGCGUUGUUCGGAAUUACUGGGCGUAAAGCGCACGUAGGCGGAUUAGUAAGUUAGAGGUGAAAUCCCAGGGCUCAACCCUGGAACUGCCUUUAAUACUGCUAGUCUUGAGUUCGAGAGAGGUAAGUGGAAUUCCGAGUGUAGAGGUGAAAUUC
rnacentral:rRNA from 1 species